rnacentral:rRNA from 1 species
UAACGGCGAGUGAAGCGGUAAAAGCUCAAAUUUGAAAUCUGGCUUCAGCCCGAAUUGUAAUUUGUAGAGGAAUGUUCGGCGACGUCUAGGUCUGAUUUUUCUGGAAGGAAAAGCCACUGAGGGUGAGAGCCCCGUACGACUGAUGACUGAACCAUGUGUACAUCCUUCGAAGAGUCGAGUUGUUUGGGAAUGCAGCUCUAAAUGGGUGGUAAAUUCCAUCUAAAGCUAAAUAUGGGCCAGAGACCGAUAGCGCACAAGUAGAGUGAUCGAAAGAUGAAAAGCACUUUGGAAAGAGAGUGAAACAGUACGUGAAAUUGUUGAAAGGGAAGCGCUAGCAACCAGACUUGAAAUUGACAUUCAGCAAUUCAUUGGAUUGUGUAUUUUGUUGAUAUCAGGCCAGCAUCAGUUUUCGCGGUUGGAAAAAAGCAUUGAUAAUGUGGCUCCUCGGAGUGUUAUAGAUCUUUGCAGAAUACAGCCAGUGAAGACUGAGGAACGCCUUUUUUGUAGGAUGCUGGCAUAAUGGUUGUUAGCGGCCCGUCUUGAACACGGACCAAGGAGUCUAACAUCUGUGCGAGUGUUUGGGUGUUAAACCCGCUCGCGAAAUGAAAGUGAACGGAGUGGGAUCUCUUUUUGAGCACCAUCGACCGAUCCUGAAAGGAUUUGAGUAAGAGCACAGCUGUUGGGACCCCGAAAAGAUGAUGAACUUGCGUGAAUAGGGUGAAGCCAGAGGAAACUCUGGUGGAGGCUCGCAGCGGUUCUGACGUGCAAAUCGAUCGUCAAAUUUGCGUAUAGGGGCGAAAGACUUAUCGAAUCAUCUAGUAGCUGGUUCCUGCCGAAGUUUCCCUCAGGAUAGCAGUAACGAGUUUAGUUUUAUGAGGUAAAGCGAAUGAUUAGAGGCCUGGGGGAUGAAACAUCCUUCACCUAUUCUCAAACUUUAAAUAUGUAAGAAGCUCUUGUCACUUAAUUGGACGUGAGCAUUCGAAUGGACGUUACUAGUGGGCCAUUUUUGGUAAGCAGAACUGGCGAUGCGGGAUGAACCGAACGCGCGGUUAAGGUGCCGGAAUGCACGCUCAUCAGACACCACAAAAAGUGUUAGUGCAUCCAGACAGCAGGACGGUGGCCAUGGAAGUCGGAAUCCGCUAAGGAGUGUGUAACAACUCACCUGCCGAAUGCACUAGCCUUGAAAAUGGAUGGCGCUCAAGCGUGCUACCCAUACCGCGCCGUUUGAUCGGACAUGAUGAUCAAACGAGUAGGCAGG